rnacentral:rRNA from 1 species
UACAGAGGGUGCAAGCGUUGUUCGGAAUUACUGGGCGUAAAGCGCGUGUAGGCUGCGAUGUAAGUCUGAUGUGAAAGCCCUGGGCUCAACCUGGGAAUUGCAUUGGAUACUGGCAGGCUAGAGUGCGGUAGAGGGUAGUGGAAUUCCCGGUGUAGCAGUGAAAUGCGUAGAGAUCGGGAGGAACAUCUGUGGCGAAGGCGACUACCUGGACCAGCACUGACACUGAGGCACGAAAGCGUGGGGAGCAAACAGG